CUGGGGAGUACGGUCGCAAGACUGAAACUCAAAGAAGGUGACGGGGGCCCGCACAAGCGGUGGAUCAUGCGGUCUAAUUAGAAGCAACGCGAAGAACCUUACCAGGACUCGACAUCACCGCAAGGUACCGUGGCCCUUUGGAACAUUGGGUCUUAGGUAGACAGGUGUUGCAUGGCAGUCGUCAGCUCGUGUCGUGAGAUAUUGGGUUAAGUCCCGCAACGAGCGCAACCCCUAUCCGCUGUUGCCAUCAGGUCUUCGACGCUGGGCACUCUGCGGAAACUGCCGGUGACAAACCGGAGGAAGGUGGGGACGACGUCAAGUCAUCAUGGCCACUUACGUCCUGGGCUACCACGCGUGAUACAAUGGGUACUACAAAGUGACGCAAGACCGCAAGAUGGAGCAAAUCGCAACAAAGUACCCUCAGUUCGGAUUGGGGUCUGCAACUCGACCCCAUGAAGCUGGAAUCGCUAGUAAUCGUGGAUCAGCGCGCCACGGUGAAUCCGUUCCCGGGCAUUGUACACACCGCCCGUCACAUGACCCGAGUUGGCUGCUCCCGAAGUCGGUGAUCUAACCCGUAAGGGGGAAGCUGCCGAAGGAGUGGCUAGCGAGGGGGAUGAAGUCGU
rnacentral:rRNA from 1 species